rnacentral:rRNA from 1 species
GUGCCAGCAGCCGCGGUAAUACGUAGGGUGCGAGCGUUAAUCGGAAUUACUGGGCGUAAAGCGUGCGCAGGCGGUUUGCUAAGACCGAUGUGAAAUCCCCGGGCUCAACCUGGGAACUGCAUUGGUGACUGGCAGGCUAGAGUAUGGCAGAGGGGGGUAGAAUUCCACGUGUAGCAGUGAAAUGCGUAGAGAUGUGGAGGAAUACCGAUGGCGAAGGCAGCCCCCUGGGCCAAUACUGACGCUCAUGCACGAAAACGUGGGAGCAAACAGGAUUAGAUACCCUGGUAGUCC